UCACAAUCUUUCGACAGUUUAUAAUCUCGCGAGAUAGAUUACAAUCUAACGGUUUUUACAAUUUUACGUUGACAUAUAUAACACUGCUGAGUAUUCUGUAGGUUUAACUGUUAGUAAAAGUCCUUAAAAAUACUAUGACUAUGAAAAGACUAUGCCCGUUCGGAGUGAGCAAAGCGUGGGCCCUAAAAAUGGGUAAUCCAGUUGGUUGAUGUUUUACUGUUGACAUGAAUGUAAACGAUCCACCCAAUUCAAAAUUUACAAGAGGAGAGAAAUGUAUUUUCUUUCACAUAGUUCUCGUGUUCGUUGCAAUUUUAAUUAUGCUUAUAAUAUUUAUAAUUCAUUUAUAUGUCGUUAACCAUACAGAAAAGAGUACAGUUAAUACACGACGUUCCGGCAACAAAGGUAAAUUUUUGCUUCAUAUUAUUUGUAACACACAGUAAAAUGUCUGCCACGAAGAUCCUAUAGAUUUCUCCUCAUGAUUAUUAGAAUUUUGGGCAUUGUCAAUUGUUCGUAAAAUAAACUAUUCUAAUUACCCAACCCGAGUACAUUCUUGCGGAAUUUAUUAACUGUUAGUGAUUAAAAAUACUACUAUAUCUUUCAAUCAAGCGCUUAAUAGAAAUCUAUUGAUUAAAUCCGUUCAAAUAAAUCAAUGGCGCUACAACCUAUUUAGGUCUGGGCCUUAGAUUUAUGUAACCGUUUCUUGAACGAUUGUCAAUCUAAUUGCAAGUAGGUAAUCAGCCUCCUGUGCCUGACACACACCGUCGCCUUUUUGGGUUUAAAAGCGUCUACACACGGCCCCAAAAUCAGAGCCACAAUAUCGGGGAAGUGGUGGAGAGCAUCGCCACGUGUAUAGGCAAAUUGUAACCUAAUUGACGUGAGUAGAAUAUGCUACAGCCGAUUCGAACUACAAGCCGAUUUCAUCCCCACCAUCAAUGUCCCGAUAUCGCCACUUUAAGGCCGUGUGUAGACGCUCUAAGGCAUGCUGGUUUCCUCACGAUGUUCUCAUUCACAGUUGAGUGAAUGUUAAAUGAGCCGAACCUACGACCUAAGGGAUGAGAGACGAAUGCUGAAGCCACUAGGCCAACACUGCUCGCGAUUAAAUGCGUUACAUAGUAUAAAAGUUCGAAAAGCGGCGUACUUUAUUUUAAAAUUAUGGAAUAUAUUACAGAUAACGUUCAGGAUUAUCCAUCAAUUGGUGUAGUUUAUUUGGAUAUAACACCAAUAGUGACAAUAUGUAACUCUUUGCUCCUUCGAACCAAGUGGUCGAUCUCUCCUGCCAACUGUGUUGUUACACGAACCCAUCCAGAACUAGCUUUUAUGCUUAUGAGAUGGAGGAUUGAUUAUGGACAGGAUACGAUAUAUACUACCAAUAUAAAAAGAAGCGUGCCACACCCACAUUUCGAUAAAGAUACUUUUAGCAAUAAUAUCGGAUUAUUUGAACACGUGGACACGAUCCCAUUACAACAGUUUCUGGUAAAUUUAAAUUAUGUUAAUUGGGAACAUAGCGGAUUCAAUCUACGAAUAAUCACGAGAGAAAAAAUUGAAGGCUCAAACAAAUUACUAAUUCACGAUGCGUCAUACAUGAAGAGAGAGACAUGUAUUCAAGAUCUUUCGGUUAUAGGAGAUGUACGAAGCUAUGAAUACUGCAUUAUACCUAAGGACAAACCAUCAUUGGUGUAUGGAGCGUUAGUUAUACUAAAUAAGGAAGUCGUAGGUAUAUUUUCCUGGGGCGAACGAAAUACUUAUCGGCUGCCUUGUGUCAUACUCAACGUAACAUUUUAUUCAGAUUGGAUUGACACAAUCGUUAUCUAUGAAACUAAUUAAUAAAAUUAAUAGAU